rnacentral:rRNA from 1 species
UACGGAGGGGGCUAGCGUUGUUCGGAAUUACUGGGCGUAAAGCGCACGUAGGCGGCUUUGUAAGUUAGAGGUGAAAGCCCGGGGCUCAACUCCGGAAUUGCCUUUAAGACUGCAUCGCUAGAAUUGUGGAGAGGUAAGUGGAAUUCCGAGUGUAGAGGUGAAAUUCGUAGAUAUUCGGAAGAAACACCAGUGGCGAAGGCGACUUACUGGACACAUAUUGA